UUUUGUUGUUCUUUGUUUACACAUUUUAAAAGAUAUACUCCUAUAUUUCAGGUGGGAGAAAGACAAAUUAGCAAAGCACAACCUAUUGUUUUCAAGAAUAAAAUGUGCAUAUUUUUUCUUUUUUUUCCUUUUAGAUUUCAUGGUAUAAAUGAAGCUUCUCAGUUCUGUCAGGUAAAAUGAACAAAGAGUUCCCCAAUGUACAGAGGAAGAGAGCAUGGGGAUAAAUAACCCCCGGCCGCUCCCACUGUCAGCCUCCAGGGUGUUGGAGAAAUAAAAUCAGCAUUACACAGCUACAAAGCAUCAGAGGAUUGAGAUAUGUGGGGGGCCACUUUAAAAAAUAAUGGAAGAGGCUUCCAGGGGAAGAUGUGCAGCCACAGAAUUUCAGGGGAAGAUGUGCAGCCACAGAAUUUCAGGGGAACUUGGUGAGCUGCAUACCUCCCCUCGCUCUAUCAAGAGCUAACAGGAGCCUGAUUGUGACUCUAAAGAGAAGAAGAGUGAAGUCCCCUAUUCUCCUUAUCACCCUGGAAUGGCAGGCAGAAGUACAUUUCCAGCCAAGGCACGGCCAGUCAAGAUGGUGUGAAAGGUCUCCACUUUAAAACCAUUUUGUACAACUGUAUCGGAAAAGACUCCUUCCUUCUAAAUGCAUUAGUGACUGCAUGGCAGAUAACAAGCCUUUUCGAUCUUAUGUAAAUGAUUCUAUUGCUUCUCUGGAUCACAGAAAAAAAGUGACAGAAGAGUUUGUUUGGAAUCAUUUCUAACAAUCUAUACUGAACAGAUUCCAAGAACAUUUGCUUGUUUUAAGACCUUGGGUAUUUGUAAUCUAUUGUGAGACCUCAUAAUAACUUCUGAACUAAUAA